rnacentral:rRNA from 1 species
GAUGAACGCUGGCGGCGUGCCUAAUACAUGCAAGUCGAGCGAACAGACGAGGAGCUUGCUCCUCUGACGUUAGCGGCGGACGGGUGAGUAACACGUGGAUAACCUACCUAUAAGACUGGGAUACCUUCGGGAAACCGGCGCUAAUACCGGAUAAUAUAUUGAACCGCAUGGUUCAAUAGUGAAAGACGGUUUUGCUGUCACUUAUAGCUGGAUCCGCGCCGCAUUAGCUAGUUGGUAAGGUAACGGCUUACCAAGGCAACGAUGCGUAGCCGACCUGAGAGGGUCAUCGGCCACACUGGAACUGAGAAACGGUCCAGACUCCUACGGUAGGCAGCAGUAGGGAAUCCUCCGCGAUGGGCGAAAGCCUGACGGAGCAACGCCGCGGGAGGGAUGAAGGUCUUCGGAUCGGAAAACUCUGUUAGUAGGGAAGAACAAAUGUGUAAGUAACGAUGCACGUCUUGACGGUACCUGAUCAGAAAGCCACGGCUAACUACGUG